UUGGACCUACGGGGCGCAGCAGUAGGGAAUCUUCCACAAUGGGGGAAACCCUGAACCAGCAACGCCGCGUGAGGGAAGACGGUUUUCGGAUUGUAAACCUCUGUCCUCUGUGAAGAUGAUGACGGUAGCAGAGGAGGAAGCUCCGGCUAACUACGUGCCAGCAGCCGCGGUAAUACGUAGGGAGCGAGCGUUGUCCGGAUUUACUGGGUGUAAAGGGUGCGUAGGCGGCUUGGCAAGUCAGUAGUGAAAUCCAUGGGCUUAACCCAUGAACUGCUAUUGAAACUGUCGAGCUUGAGUGAAGUAGG
rnacentral:rRNA from 1 species